AUCCGCCAUUACGUCACUGUGCUAUGCUGUGAUGUCAUCAGCAGCUGACUGCAGCACUUCUGGGAUGCGGAGUGAGGGCGGGAUUGGGGGCUCUUGGUAUUGGCUUUCCCUCGCUACGGGCUGGGGGCUCCCGGCUCCCUGCCAGUCCCUGGAGCCAAAGUUGCCACGAAGCCGCAUGACUGCGGGAGCGGAGGCCGCGAGCUAGCACUCCCUGUCCCGAGGGUCACAAUUCAAUGGGGAGAGCUGGCACCGCAGCCGCUGCUCGCCGUGCCUCGUCCCCUGGUGUCGCUAUGUGGUGCGUAAAGCUGCUGGGCUGAGCUGGGGCAGAAUGGGAGAGCACUGACUGGAGGCAGGAGACCACACUGAAGUGUAGUGGGUCAUAAUUUAAGAAGGGCAGUGAAGACUUCAGAGCAAGCAAGCCAAGAGAUUGGACAGUGGAGGCAUAUGUGAACAAGGCACAAAGACAACCCUCCCUCCUCAGAACAGGCUGUUCUAGAUCAAAUGAGAAGGAAGAAAGCUGUCCCAGUUUUGUAACCUGGCAGUGGCACAAGAUGCACCUGUUUGGCUGAGGGUUGUUCUGUUCUGUUAGGAGUUACGCAGGGGGAUAUCUUGGAAAUGUCUGACUAACUGAAAGUUUGUACAGUCCUCUCAUCUUGGCUAUGGUGAAUUAAUAAAUACCUUGCUGUUGCAACAUUAA